rnacentral:lncRNA from 1 species
AAUGCAAGUGUUUAACAGAUGCUUCACUAUUAAAAUAUUUUCCCCCCAAGUCUCAAAUAUUGAAGAAUCUCUAACCAGAAGGCACAGAUCAUUCAUGGGGAUGUAUAACCGAAACCAGUCCUCUCCACCGCCUGGGGAUCUUCACUUUCGCAGUCUACGACUGCCUGUGACUCCAGAAAGACAAACUGCAGAUUGGCCAAGUGCCUUUCAAACUGUUUUUUACUGGAUGAAGAAACUCAACCAAGAAAAUAUAUGUCGAUUCUUGUAUAUGGGACAAUAUUAGCUGCUGUGAUUUUUAAUACUAGCAUAAAAUAUAAGAAUCUUUUUAUUACUGUGAUAUUGUUUUUUCCUAAAUGAAUGCAUAGUGUAACAAUUGGUGUCAAAAAGCAUUGAAUUUUUUUCAGAUGGAUUAAGCUGGAAUAAUAAAGUAUAUCUAUGAGAUGAUUUCUGUAAACUCUGACUUGCUGAGAAAAAAGUGAAAAAGCUUUUUCUGGAAGAAACAUGGCAACUUAACCGUUAUUAAUCUGGACUAAAUAAAACAGGAAACUGCUUCUUUA